UGGGAAGAUCCCUGAGGUGAAGUUUGUG
rnacentral:piRNA from 1 species